rnacentral:misc_RNA from 1 species
GAUGAAGAACGUAGCGAAAUGCGAUACUUGGUGUGAAUUGCAGAAUCCCGUGAACCAUCGAGUCUUUGAACGCAAGUUGCGCCUCAAGCCAUUAGGUUGAGGGCACGUCUGCCUGGGCGUCACAUAUCGUUGCCUGAUGCCAGUUUCCUCGUGAUGGGUGACUGUGCAGGGCGAAUGAUGGCUUCCCGUGAGCAUUGUUGCCUCAUGGUUGGUUGAAAAUUGAGUCCUUGGUAGGGAGCGCCGUGAUAGAUGGUGGUUGAGUGACGAACGAGACCCAAUCAUGUGAGACCCCUACCGAAUUUGGCCUUCAUGACCCACAUGCGUCUUUGGAACGCUCAUGACGAGACCUCAGGUCAGGCGGGGCUACCCGCUGAGUUUAAGCAUAUCGAUAAGCGGAGGA